ACGCUGGCGGCAGGCCUAACACAUGCAAGUCGAGCGGUAGAGAGAAGCUUGCUUCUCUUGAGAGCGGCGGACGGGUGAGUAAUGCCUAGGAAUCUGCCUGGUAGUGGGGGAUAACGUUCGGAAACGGACGCUAAUACCGCAUACGUCCUACGGGAGAAAGCAGGGGACCUUCGGGCCUUGCGCUAUCAGAUGAGCCUAGGUCGGAUUAGCUAGUUGGUGAGGUAAUGGCUCACCAAGGCGACGAUCCGUAACUGGUCUGAGAGGAUGAUCAGUCACACUGGAACUGAGACACGGUCCAGACUCCUACGGGAGGCAGCAGUGGGGAAUAUUGGACAAUGGGCGAAAGCCUGAUCCAGCCAUGCCGCGUGUGUGGAGGAGGUCUUCGGAUUGUAAAGCACUUUAAGUUGGGAGGAAGGGCAUUAACCUAAUACGUUAGUGUUUUGACGUUACCGACAGAAUAAGCACCGGCUAACUCUGUGCCAGCAGCCGCGGUAAUACAGAGGGUGCAAGCGUUAAUCGGAAUUACUGGGCGUAAAGCGCGCGUAGGUGGUUAGUUAAGUUGGAUGUGAAAUCCCCGGGCUCAACCUGGGAACUGCAUUCAAACUGACUGACUAGAGUAUGGUAGAGGGUGGUGGAAUUUCCUGUGUAG
rnacentral:rRNA from 1 species